rnacentral:rRNA from 1 species
AUGCAUGUCUAAGUACACACCUUAACAUGGUGAGACUGCGAAAGGCUCAUUAAAUCAGCUAUGGUUUCUUAGAUCAUUGAACAUUACUUGGAUAACUGUGGUAAUUCUAGAGCUAAUACAUGAAACAAAGCCUUGGCCUCACGGUAAAGGCGCAUUUAUUAGAUCAAAACCAACCGACUUCGGUCGUAGUUUUGGUGACUCUGGAUAACUUUGUGCAGAUCGCAUGACCUUGCUCGGCGACGUAUCUUUCAAAUGUCUGACCUAUCAACUGUCGACGGUAGGUGAUAUGCCUACCAUGGUGAUAACGGGUAACGGGGAAUCAGGGUUCGAUUCCGGAGAGGGAGCCUGAGAAACGGCUACCACAUCUAAGGAAGGCAGCAGGCGCGCAAAUUACCCAAUCCCGACACGGGAGGUAGUGACGAAAAAUAACGAUGCGGGUCUUUUAUGAGGCCCCGUAAUUGGAAUGAGUACACUUUAAAUCCUUUAACAAGGAUCAAUUGGAGGGCAAGUCUGGUGCCAGCAGCCGCGGUAAUUCCAGCUUCAAUAGCGUAUAUUAAAGUUGUUGCAGUUAAAAAGCUCGUAGUUGGAUCUCAGGAGUUGAGGGAGUGGUUCGCCUUCAUGGGUGUUACUAUUCUCUCUUCCUAUCUAGUCGGAGUCCGUCUUGG